rnacentral:lncRNA from 1 species
CUUGGACAAAAGUCAUGCUUUUCGUCGGAUUUUGGUCUGAUCGAGCCAAUUUUGCAUCAUAUUUGACAUGGUUUAGACGAUGAAAACAGCCACCAAUAUCAUAAAGUCAACUUGAGUUUGCUUUGUGGGACAAGUGGAAUAACAUUCCUCGGGAUCACAUUAAACGUCCAGGAUGAUCAAUUCCACGGCGCUGUCGAGAUUGCGCUGCACCACGUGGGUUGUAACAUUUUUUGUUAGGACUGUGAGUUGAUGAUUCGACAUUGGAUGUUUCGUUUACCUAUUGCGCCCGAAAGAUGACAAUGAAACAUUUUGUUUGAUAUCGAUCUAUUGUUAAAAUUGUUAAUUUUCAAGAACAAUUUAUUUUGAAAGAUUGUCAUUUCUAAUAUGAAUUUUAUUUUUGAAAAACCAAGUGUUACGUUUUCAUUGGCACUCAGUAUAU